GACGAACGAGGGAGGAGGGAGGAACACAUGCAAGUCGAACGGAAAGGCCCUGCUUUUGUGGGGUGCUCGAGUGGCGAACGGGUGAGUAACACGUGAGUAACCUGCCCUUGACUUUGGGAUAACUUCAGGAAACUGGGGCUAAUACCGGAUAGGAGCUCCUGCUGCAUGGUGGGGGUUGGAAAGUUUCGGCGGUUGGGGAUGGACUCGCGGCUUAUCAGCUUGUUGGUGGGGUAGUGGCUUACCAAGGCUUUGACGGGUAGCCGGCCUGAGAGGGUGACCGGCCACAUUGGGCCUGCGAUACGGCCCAGACUCCUACGGGAGGCAGCAGUGGGGAAUAUUGCACAAUGGGCGGAAGCCUGAUGCAGCAACGCCGCGUGCGGGAUGACGGCCUUCGGGUUGUAAACCGCUUUCGCCUGUGACGAAGCGUGAGUGACGGUAAUGGGUAAAGAAGCACCGGCUAACUACGUG
rnacentral:rRNA from 1 species